rnacentral:lncRNA from 1 species
CUCCACCUCCCUUGCCCUUCUUCUUCUAGUUCUUCUGCUCCUUGAUCAUCCAUCCCCUUCUUCUCCUUUUCUCUGCACAUGGACAUGGUUAGCACCAAAUUGAUGCACCCCAAAACACAAAUCGGUCCAAAUCACAAGUAUUAUACAAGGUAAAAAAAUGAUUUUUUUGAUAAGGAACAAAAGAGGGUAGAUAGAGGGAGAGGGCAGAGGAUACCGUGGCUGCUGCUAUGUUGUGUUGGGGAAGAAGCACACCUCCUCUGCCGCUGCGUGGUGGUGGAGAAGCUGCUCCUAAUAUAAAGCUAUUCCUGCAACCUGUAAUAACACACUCAAGUUAAUGGGAUAAGCACACAAAUUAUUUUCAGUGUAAACAAAACUGAUUUCCCUUAAAAGAUAAACCAAGUGUAGUAAUUGAAGUAACUUUAAGCAAAUAUCAUUACUGCGCUUUUGAACCCGCAGCUACCAAAAAAGACAACAUUAAGAUACACUUGUCAGUCAAAAGUGACUAUAAGUUAGUUGAGGAAACAAGAGUAACAUCCAGAUUGCAGAUUUAUAUGAACAGGAAAGGACACCACAUAUGGCAACAGGACUCUGUCAUGUAGUUCUAAAUCAACGAUUCAUUCAGGAAAGCAGACAACAUCAACAAUGCUCAUUCGUAUGAACCAAAUAAUGUAAUUUUUGCCAAGAACACAAGGGUGUAAAAUUAGAAUAACAACAUGAAUUGCCAUAUCAAUCAAUAAAAUAAGCUAGGUAAAAAGAGUGCAUCAUUCCUGUUGGUGUUUUAUUUCCAUCCAUGAGUCAUUGUCAUCAAAUAAUUUGUGCAUAUACACAGAAUAAAAGGAAACAUGACGUGUAAUAUGAAAUAGAAUAACUGAAUAUUUCUUUGCCAGCAUGGGUAGUGAGGAAAGAAAUUUCACACAUAUGCAACAACAAUAAAACCAUCAAGUUAGCCACCUGGCAAUUAAUUGUCCACACAUCUUAUUGUCACCCUUGUUAACCAAGCCUUUGAGCAUGCACAUGAUGAUUUGCUCAAGCUUUCUUGUG